UACGUAGGGUGCAAGCGUUGUCCGGAAUUAUUGGGCGUAAAGCGCUCGCAGGUGGUUCGUCGCGUCGUGCGUGAAAGACCCCGGCUCAACUGGGGAGUGUCGUGCGAUACGGGCGGACUGGAGGCCAGUAGGGGGAUGCGGAAUUUCGGGUGUAGUGGUGGAAUGCGUAGAGAUCCGGAGGAACACCAGCGGCGAAGGCGGCGUCCUGGACUGGUCCUGACACUCAGGAGCGAAAGCGUGGGGAGCGAUCCGG
rnacentral:rRNA from 1 species